rnacentral:pre_miRNA from 1 species
GAAAUAGUUACUGCGAUGUUGGCCCGGUUCACUCAGGAGAAAGAAACAUAUAGCUCAUCAAUGAAGGCUUACUGUGUUUUUCUGAUUGAGCCGUGCCAAUAUCUCAGUGCUCUUUC